rnacentral:rRNA from 1 species
AAGAUUAAUACCGCAUAAGAUUGUAGUAUCGCAUGAUAUAGCAAUUAAAGGAGCAAUUCGCUAUAAGAUGGACCCGCGUCGCAUUAGCUAGUUGGUGAGGUAAUGGCUCACCAAGGCGACGAUCCCUAGCUGGUCUGAGAGGAUGACCAGCCACACUGGAACUGAGACACGGUCCAGACUCCUACGGGAGGCAGCAUG